rnacentral:rRNA from 1 species
UACGUAGGGGGCAAGCGUUGUCCGGAUUUAUUGGGCGUAAAGAGCUCGUAGGCGGCUUGUCGCGUCGACUGUGAAAACCCGCGGCUCAACUGCGGGCCUGCAGCCGAUACGGGCAGGCUAGAGUUCGGUAGGGGAGACUGGAAUUCCUGGUGUAGCGGUGAAAUGCGCAGAUAUCAGGAAGAACACCCGUGGCGAAGGCGGCUCUCUGGUACGUGACUGACGCUGAGACGCGAAAGCGUGGGGAGCGAACAGG